rnacentral:lncRNA from 1 species
CUUCAAUCCCUUGUAAUUUCCUCAUUCACAGCUACUGACAAUUCAAAGAAUCUGUGCCAAAUCCAAAUUCUCUAAUUUAGUUACAUUCAGCAUACUCCUAAAGUAUGUGCUCAGAUGGAAAGUUGGCUCUUUUAGGUUCAAAGAAUUCUGAUCAUAAGGGUUGAAGUAUCAGGGUUUCUCAGAUAACCAAAAGUCCAAAGAACUAAAGCAUCCCAUUCUCCAGGUACUUUGGUUUUCAAUGUCAUUAAGCAGACACUAUUCUCUCUGAUCAAUACCAUGAUAUCUCAGCCUCAGUUGACAAAUCAGCGUUAGGUUGCUGUCAGAUUCCACUAAGAACUAUGUGCAUCUCCACUUGUGUAAGGUGCCGCUGGGUCCAUCCAUCUAUCAUAAAGAAUCUUUGCAUUUAAGGAAGUGAUAUCGAGGCCGAGGUGGGUGGAUCACCUGAGAUCAGGAGUUCGAGGCCAGUCUAGCCAACAUGGUGAAACCCCAUCUUUACUAAAAAUACAAAAAAUUAGCCGGGCAUGGUGGCAUGCCUGUAAUCCCAGCUACUCCAAAGACUGAGACAGGAGAAUAGCUUGAACCCAGGAGGUUGCAGUGAGCUGAGAUCUUGCCAUUGCACUUCAGCCUGGCCACGCGAUUGAAACUCUGUCUCAAAAAAAAAAAAAAAAAAAGAAAAGAAAAGAAAAGAAAAAAAGAAGCGAUGUCAUUUGAAGCAGCAUUCAGGUCCUUCUGAAAAUCCACUGUUCACUGAAAAGACACAAUUCCACAUGUUAAAACAAGUGCAAUUAUCCAUCCUUUUCCGUUUGAUAAGCUGCUAAUGCUUCAUCCCGCUACUGGAGCCCCGGUCUCGUUAGUUAGGGCAGGGGGCCCUCUGCUGGGUACAUGCCCAGGUCUCUGCUUCAAGGCUGAUGAUCAGGCUGAGUCUGUGUGUCACUCUCACUCAGCUUCUGCAAGCACUGCCACUGGAGAACUGAGAGGACAUCGAUUGUGGUGUGAAGAUCAUCUCUUGCCUUGCUCUGUUGAGUUGUCUAUGUCCUCUUCUGGUAAUGGAAUAACUCUUCCACCCCAUUCCUGGACCAUGUCGUGCAGGUAAAACAGCUCCUCCCAAGCUCUCUUCCCUUUAUGGAAGGUCAGGGCAUGUGAUCUAAGUUGAUUAAUGACAACCCUUUUCUGGAAUAUUUGUUGGAACCGUUUGUAAAGAAGCAUUUUCUCCAUGAAAGACAGAGGGUACACAUACAAACCUGCAGCUGUAGAGGGGCCAUUAUUGACACCUUGAGAAGAAAUCACACCUGAGAAUAAAGGCAACACAGAGGAAAAGGGAUCAAGGACAUUGCUAGAGUCCUGAUGACAUUGUUUACGCACCUGUAUCCAAUCACCUGGGGCAUCAGGUUUUGUUGUCAAUAAAUUCUGCCCCACCUCCCAACACACACAAUUUUUGUUUUUUGCUUUUGGCUGAAAUUAAUUUGCUAACUUGAAAUUUAAAUGACAUAAUUGUAUUUAGAUUUUCUUUCCUUGUCUGUCACUUCCCCUAGAGUGUGAGUUUCUUGAGGACAAAGACAGUGUCUUAGUUUGUAUAUUCCAUGUGCUUAGUAUAGACUCUGCCAUGCAAAAGUUGCUCAUGUUGCUUGUGUCAAAUUGAGUAGUUUGGGACCAACGCAAACAAGAAAUUACUCUGAUAUGAGGUGGGAAAAAUUACCAGGGAAACCAAUGAUAACUUCUGUUAGGUAACAUAGCCUUAAUGGGCAGAUUUCCUUGCCAGAAAUACUCAAAUGUCUUCUGAGCAUCUGGGGACAUGCUGCAUGUAUGGCACAAAAACACACGUAUUUAUGGCUGGUUUUCCUGGCAGGCAAGGACUCCUUAGGUAUCUCUGGGUGCUCUGAUGAACACCCCGCUUUCCUUGUAAUGCUAGUAAGCGAUGCCAACCUCUCCCCUACAUGGCUGGGGGCACAGGGGUUGCUGUUAUCUCUGGUUACUUGGAUUGAAGCAAUUGUCUAGUUUUCUCUGGAAAGAUAGAGAUCGACAGCAGCCACAUGGUGGAGAACAUUAUCCCAUUUUGCCUCCUCAGUGGGACCUAAAGAUUGGUAGUUUCAACACUUCUGGUUUUUAUGUGUGAAUCUAUUGUCAGCAUCUCUAGUCUUCAGCAAAACCAGCCUUCCAGCAAUUACAGCUGAGCUGCAUGUGUGUGCCUCUUCAUAUGCACCUGGGGACCCUUUCCCUCCAAAUUCUCACUCAGUCAUUUAAGUCAAAGGCACUUAGUUCCUCUUGAGCGCCGUUCCCAUGUCAGUUAGAAAUAAGCGUACUGCUCAAAUUGCAUGCAGCAUAUGGCAAAAUGAGCGUCUGGUCCAGGCUUAGGGAAGGGAGGACUAAGCCAGAGUGGGAGGUGUUAUGGUUAUCUGACUGAGAGUAUUUUUCUGGUGUUGUUAUUCACAUUAUUUUUAUUCUAAACUAUGAAAUUACAUUUCCUGUAAUGUAACUGUGCUGUAGCUAUGGAGUCAUCAGUGGCUCAUGUCUGUGUAUUCAUAGCUAGCUCUAUGUGCAGGUAGAUUAAAUGCCUAUGUUACAUAGCUUAUGUUAAAAUGCAAAAUUACAGUCAAUGUAUUAUGGCCCAAAGGAUUCCCAAUUCUAUAGAAACUCUUCUUUAUUAAUAUUGUUGUUUCCAUAAAGACUAGUUAAUUGCAGCUCUAUAUGCUAAGUAAGAAACGUGAUCAUUUGAAUCGCUUCUUUAGAUUUGGUACUACACUGGAAAUAUGUUCAAUCCUGGGAUCACUGCCUUAAGGGGAAUACUUAUAAAAGGACGUGAAUUCAGAACAGAAUUAAUCCAGAUUAUUACAGAUGCAGCCUAAUGGGACAAAUAAAACAAUACAAAAUAACAAAGACAACAAAGGAAAGUUUGGGGGAAAUGUGGUGUUUGUCUUCAGGUAAAUGAAGGACAAUUGUAGAAAAGAAAUACCACUUGUUUGAAAUAUCACUUGUUCUUAUCAUUGCCAUAGGGCAGAGUAGUGAUCAGGUAGAAGCGUCAUGAAGGCAGAUUUCAGCUAGACACAGGAAAGGGCCAGUCUGCUUUUGAAUUGGUUUGCUUUUGGUUGUAGAUUUUGCUAUCACUGGAGAUCAGCUAGCUAGAAGUUGGAUGAUAAUUUGGUAGAGGAGUAGUGUGGCAGUGACAGCUCAAGGCCUCCCCAGUAUCCAUUCUCCUCUUCUUUCUUACCAAUAGGAUCUGGGAGGUUGUUUCAGAUGAAAAGGUACAUUUCCCGACUCCCCUUGAAGACAUGUGUUAUCAAUAGAGUAUAAGGAGCACUUAUUGGAUGGAGCUUCUGGUAAAGGGUUUUUGCCCUUCCUCUCUCUCUUCUGGCUUCCUCCUGGGAAUGCAGAUGUUCUGGCUGUAGCUCCAGCUAUAUUUAGGAUGAGGAUGAUUACAUGACCUUGAGAAUGAAAGAGACACAUUUGGUGUGGUGGAGCAGAAAUACAGAAGCAGACUCAGUCCCUAAUGGCCAAGUCAGACUGGACUACCUAUGUCCUUUUGUUCAUAACCACCAGCCUAAUGCAAUUCCUAUCACUAGCAGCCUAAUGCAAUUCCUAUCAGAUACAUGUGUCAACCACCUAGUCCUGUGGUCUCUUUGAAUUUUAAGCAUCUGUGGAUUUAAGAAUACGUCACUGC